UCCCUUAACUGAAAAAAAAGCCAAAUUCAAGGACUAACCAAGGUAAUACUUUUUUUUUUCUCUCCCGCAACACACUUUACGAAACACACAAACCCGCCUUUUCAACACUCAUCAACACGCCAUCAUCAUCAUCAUCAUCAUCAUCGUCAUCAUCAUCAUCAUCAUCAUCAUGUUUUAGUCCACGGCAGCACGAAGGCCUUUCCCAACGUCCUCCACCUCCCGUGUUAGUGCUCUCCAUAUUGUUCCGGCAAAGGUUUUAAUUUCAUCUCUGCAGCAUAAAGGCCUUUCCCAACGUCCUCCACCUCUCAUGUUAGUGCUCUCCAUAUUGCUCCUGCAAAGGUUUUAAUUUCAUCUCUGCAGCAUAAAGGCCUUUCCCAACGUCCUCCACCUCUCAUGUUAGUGCUCUCCAUGUUGUUCCUGCAAAGGUUUUAAUUUCAUCUCUGCAGCAUAAAGGCCUUUCCCAACGUCCUCCACCUUGUGUUAGUGCUCUCCAUAUUGUUCCGGCAAAGGUUUUAAUUUCAUCUCUGCAGCAUAAAGGCCUUUCCCAACGUCCUCCACCUUGUGUUAGUGCUCUCCAUCCUGUUCCGGCAAAGGUUUUAAUUUCAUCUCUGCAGCAUAAAGGCCUUUCCCAACGUCCUCCACCUCUCAUGUUAGUGCUCUCCAUGUUGUUCCGGCAAAGGUUUUAAUUUCAUCUCUUCAGUAUAAAGGCCUUUCCCAACGUCCUCCACCUCUCGUGUUAGUGCUCUCCAUCCUGCUCCGGCAAAGGUUUUAAUUUCAUCUCACUACCUGGUCCCUUAUCUGCCCUGACUUACAAUUCCUUCGUUGCCAUUCUGUCCCUUCAUAUCUGUUAUCUUCCAUAUUCUCUCGCCUUUUUCUCCUCGUCUCUCAUCGCUUACACUUUCAUUUUCUUUUUCCCGGUGUUUCAGGUGUUUGGGGGCUGGUGAACAGGCAGCUUACAGGGUCCGCAUUCCUCCCGCUGUACCUGAUUCGCCUCUUGAAUAAUAGAUAAUAAAAGUGAGAGUAGGAAAGGGAAGAAAAAAAGAGACAGAACGACUUUGGUUGUCCAUUUGUUAUUAGUUUUGUGCAUGGUAUGACCUGCCCAAGUCCAUUUUUUUUUUUUAAUCGUCAUUUUUUUAUCUUCUGUCUUUGUCUGUUCCCUAAUCCAUAUUGCUCGGUUUCUGUCUCGCCUUUCUAAUCGUCAAAAUUGUCUUCUCUAACUCAUGAUGCGCGCCUCCGUGGUGCAGUGGUUAGCGUGCCUGGCUACGAAUCCGCGGGCCUGAGUUCGAAUCCCGGCCAGGGCAGUCGGCGUGCAACUCACCCAGCUGUUCAUUCUCCCUUUCGGGCUGGUCGAUAAAUGGGUGCCUGGGGAAAGCAAACCGUGGUAACCUGGAUGUCACACUGGCCAUGUCCCGGGGUGAUGGCUCUUCCCACCAAUGCGACGGAGAUGAGCACCGAGGCCAGGCACAGCUACUCGUAUAAUGCAAGCCCUCACCUUUACUUUACCUCUUCCUGUAACACCCAGAAAAAAAACUACGUAAUCUUACCUGUAGCGCUCACGUUUGCCUGGUGUGCCUUACCUGUCAUGUCCCGUCCACCUGUCAUUGGCUGUUAGACGAGCCUCGACACGACCUCAGGUAACAUUAGCGUGUGUGACCUUGAGACGGGUGACGGGUUACCUGCGCACGUGAGAUGGUGGUGGUGGUGGUGGUGGUAAUGGUGAUGAUGAUGAUUGCAAGGCUGGUGGUGGUGGUAGGGGUGGUGGUGGUGAUAAUGGUGAGGCUGGUGGUGGUGGUGGUGAUUUUGGUGGUGUGGUGGUGGUGGUGGUGAGGCUGGUGGUGGUGGUGGUAAGGGUGGUGAUGAUGAUGGUGGUGGUUAGCCUGGUAUUGGUGAUGGUUAGACUGAUGGUGAUGGUAAUGGUGAUGGCGGUGACGCUGGUGGUAGUGAUGGUGGUGGUGAUAGUGAUGAUGAUGGUGGUGGUGAAGGUUGGAGAUACUGAUAAGACACGCACAUACACACACACAAAAAAAAAAAUGAUAUGCAGUAGAGAAAAAAAUUAUGCUUAGAAAUACUUAUGACAAGACGUGCAUUAAAUAGUAAACAAGUUGUAGUGGAAUGAUAAAAAGACGUACGAUAAACAGACAAACAAAAAUAAAAGUGGUUAUCUUAUUUAUUUAUUUUUGUUUAAAGGAGACGAAAAGAGAUCAAUUGAAACGGUUAAUAAAAAGGCAAGCAAACAUUGGCAAUAUGAACUUCACAAAAAAAAGGCACACACACACACACACACACACACACACACACACACACACACACACGCAGAGAAGGACAGAUAUGUAGUUACGUACCAGGAAGUCAGGUGAACGUUGAUGGUAAUGACGCAAAAGAUAAAAGAAAGAGAAAACAAAGAGAGAAAAGACAAAUAAUCAGAUAAAUACUAAAUAGAAAAAAAAGAUAGACAGGUAAAUAAACACUACACAAGAAGAGUUAUUCGUACGUAGUAAAAAUUAGCGAUGAAGGAUGAAAAUAAAGAUAAAUAAAAAGAAAAAAAAGGAAAAGUGUGAAUGAUGAAAUAGAUGUUAGUGAAUAGAAUACAAUAAAUGAAGAAAGGAAUAAACGAGAGAAACAGUAAGAGAAAAAAAUCAUGUAUUGGCGUAAAGAAUGUAAACGAUACAGUGAUCAUAAAUGUUAAAAAAAAAGGUAGAAACAAAACGAAAAAAUAGAAAGAUCGUAAAAGAUGAAGCGUUAGUAACAUUUGAAGUACAAAAUUAGACAAAAAUAAAUGCUUAGAUGUCCAAAAAAAAAAAAAAAUGGCAGAAACAAAACGAAAAAAAAAAUAGCGUAAAAGAUGAAACGUCAGUAACAGUUGAUGAAGUAGAACAUUAAAAUAUAAAGUAGUGCGUAGAUGAUGAUGAUGAUGAUGAUGAUGAUGAUGAUGAUCCUUGACUUUCCCAUGCUCAAACAGGUAACAGUUGUCGUGAUCAUGGACAGGUGAACAGGUGGGGAGAAAACAGGAAUGAAAUGUUUGAAAGGGAGAGUAAAGAGAGAGAAAAUAUAUAAAGUGACAAAGGAUAGAUAAUGAAAUGUAGAAAAGGAAACUAAGAGACGGAAAAUUGGCGAGAAAACAAAAGGAAUGGUUGAAAGGGAGAGUAAAGAGAGAGAAAAAACAUUAAAUAUCAGAGUAAGGAUAAAUAAUGAAAUAUAGAAGAGGAAACUAAAGAUGAAAAAUUAGAGAAUAUAGGGAAAAAAAUGGUUGAAAGGGAGUUUAAAGAGAGAGAAAAUAAAAAGUGACAGAGAGGAUAGAUAAAGACAUGUAGAAGAGGAGAUCAAGAAACGGAAAAUAGAAAAGAAAAAACAAAGGUUGAAAAGAUGAGCAAAGAAAGAAGUUAAAUGACAAAAAACGGAUAGAUGAUGAAGACUAAGAAAUGGGAAGUAAGAAAGAAGAAAUAAUGAGUGAAAGGAUGAGUAGAGACAGAAAGGAUAGAUAAUGAAAAGUAAAAUAGAUAACUAAGAGACGGUAAAUUAGAGGGAAAAUAGGGAAAAAAAUGAUUGAAAGAAAGAGUAGAGAAAGAGAGAAAUAAAUAGAAGAAAGGAUAAAUAAGAAAGUAGAGAAUAGAAAACUAAAUGUAAAAAUGGAGAGAAAAUAGAAAAAAAUGGUUGAAAGAAAGAGUAGAGAAAGAGA